CGGACGGGUGAGUAACGCGUGGGUAACCUGCCUCAUACAGGGGGAUAACAGUUGGAAACGACUGCUAAUACCGCAUAAGCGCACAGGAUUGCAUGAUCCAGUGUGAAAAACUCCGGUGGUAUGAGAUGGACCCGCGUCUGAUUAGCCAGUUGGCGGGGUAACGGCCCACCAAAGCGACGAUCAGUAGCCGACCUGAGAGGGUGACCGGCCACAUUGGGACUGAGACACGGCCCAA
rnacentral:rRNA from 1 species